UAAUCCCUACGGGGGGCAGCAGUGAGGAAUAUUGGUCAAUGGGCGCGAGCCUGAACCAGCCAAGUCGCGUGAGGGAAGACGGUCCUAUGGAUUGUAAACCUCUUUUGUCGGGGAGCAAAAGACGCCACGUGUGGCGUUCCGAGAGGACGCGAAGAAACAGCAUCGGCUAACUCCGUGCCAGCAGCCGCGGUAAUACGGAGGAUGCGAGCGUUAUCCGGAUUUAUUGGGUUUAAAGGGAGCGCAGGCGGAAGAUCAAGUCAGCGGUAAAAUUGAGAGGCUCAACCUCUUCGAGCCG
rnacentral:rRNA from 1 species